GUAUUCUAUAAGCAAACAUAAUCUGAGCUUAGCCUCCAUUACUAGAUGGGUUCUUCAAGUAAGUAUGUUUGACUAAAAUAUCAGCUAUGUCAGCCAGUGAGAAAAGCAAAAAAAACUAAAUUUUACAUAUAAAUUUGACAACUCUGGAAGCCUCUAACACAUAAUGGUGUUGAUUAAUUGAAUUGUAAAAAAUAAACAGGAAAUGCAGAAAACAAAAAUGUAUUACACACAUAUACAUAAAACAGAUCCUCUAUAGAUAACCUCAUUGCUAUUCAGACAUUUGGGAUACACAGAUAAAGUAUGAUUUAUUUAUUAGGUACCAAAUUAAAUAUUGUCAAUAGCAACAUUUUGCAGCUAGGUGCUCUGAGACAACUUUUUCAUCUCUCAAAUGCAUUAAAUAGUGGAGGCUAUCGGGAUCAACCUUAGCAGAUUAAUAAUUUUUCAGCCUUAUUAACAUAACUACAUGUGUAAUUGAAAAGUUAUAUUUUACAAAAUGAACAUUAUUGUGAAAAAAACAUUAUUGUGAAUAGCAUCAUUCGCUGAUGACAUGUUCUUCAUACUGCAUAAAUGUGACUUUUAACAUCCCCCUCUUCUCUAGGAAAUGAGACUUAUGGCUUUCUCUUUUAAUUUUAAAAUUAAAUUGACUACAUUUGAGAUUCUCACUCUGAUUAUGAUUUAAAACUGCUUCAAGAAGACUUUCCUUUUGUUGGACCUCUUCUAGCCUUAAAUACGUGGGAAUCCAUCUCAAUACCCCUCUAAGUGAUUCCAAGGAUAAAGAAUUUACCUACCUUAUUAAGACUGAGCAAGCAUAAAGGUUAAAUGUCCUAGAGAUUAAUAUCCAAGACUGCUAUAUGGUUUUCAGAUGUGCACAGUUAUAGUAGGACCAUAAUUUUACAUCUUCCUCGUUGAGUAUUUUGGGAGGAGAAGAAAUAUUUAUUAUGCUCUCUUAACUUGGUAGAAGGUAAAUGAGCUCUCAGACUAUUCACUUUGAGGCCUACUGCAUAGUUAGUAGUAUAGAACACCUAGGUAAAGUGUUGACCACAACUAUGAAUUCCUUCUCCCAAAUUACCCUGGCAUCUUUCUAACAAUUGAAACCCUUUUAUUCAAUAACACAAUUCCAACCAAUUAUCACACUGACAUUGAGGCUUUGGUGAUCAAUAUUAGCGUUGACACACAUUGUAUUCUGUUUCUUCACCAAUGCCCCCACUGUCUUAUUAUCUAGACUGCUCUUUCCCACAAACUUCAUGAAAGACCAAUAUCCUAAAGAACUGUCAUCUGUAGGAUGAGCAAAAUGUACCCACAUUAUCUCACCUUGAUAUUAUAAACUUUUUCAAUCAUGAAUUUGGCUACUUCCAGUUCUGACAUUAAUUCAAAUAACUCUUGCCCAAGCUGGGUCCACUUGGAUGAAUAUUCUUUCAUUAGGUAAUCUGGAGUUGAUGUUCACUUAUUUACUUUUUUGCUACUGGUGACCAUGGUGAGGAGUAUCGCAGGCUGGCACCCAGUGUAUUUGAUGUGGAGAGCUGGUUCAUCCUAUUUAUCUAUUAUCUCAAAUCAGCCAUUGAACCUCUACUUAUACAAAGGGCCCCACUGUAUAUUUGCAACAAUUCCUUUUCUCACUAUUUUAGUGUCAACUUUUAUACGGCAGCUUAUUAUGAGAAAGAGAGCUGGGAAUGUAACUCACCCAAAACAUUGGAGGAAAACAUUAUUUUUACAUUUACAAGUCUCAAUCAGCUCCAAAAUGCAACAAUCUUCUUUUAAGUUUAUGACACAAUAGUAUUAGUCUCUGCAAAGCCCAUGGGCUAUUGGUGUUGCAUUGCCUCUCUUGGUCCAAUUUUCCAUAUUUGCCAUGAGAGUUCAGCCCAGAACACAUAUUGAUAGUCAUCAGUUCAUUGACCAGAUUUCUGGGGGCUGCUUUACUCCUUCUCAUUUCCAUUAUACUACCACGCCAAUUUCCGCAUGCAAAUUUGGCCAAGACCUUACUUCUAUUAAAUUGGAUUGAUAAAUAUUUUCACUUACAGUGAAUGUGUUACCAAUGCUCAAGACAUCUGGGAUCAUGGAAAACAUACCUUACACUGCUAACUCCAAUAGUACCACCUCUUGUAAUGAUGUUGGAAUUAAUUUCUCGGCUCAGAUCACACUGGUGAAAUCACUGUCUCCUGUAACCUCUUUCCCUAUCAGCAUGACUAAUUGGAGUAAUCCCCCAUUGCCCUCCUUUACUCCACCCCUUCUUCUUAUCUUCUCAGGUUUCCUGCAGUUCUCUUGUAGCAUCUCACAAUAUCUUCAUCGUCCCAAGUAUGUUGGACUUUUAUUCUCAACUUCGAAAAUUAUCCUUCAUUUCAAAAUCCUUCCAUUGUCUUAUCGUUAUUAAAAUUGUAGCAAACUAUUGAGCUGUUCUGUUAUUAAUUGUUCACCAUGAAUGUACAAUAUUUAAAAUUUUAGAAAUAUACUCAUUUCUUUAGUUGGUAGGUAGUAUGGAAGUAUAAGCCUUGAUUUAAUAAGAUUUCCAAAUUAUUCCAUAAUGCCAGAAAAACUAUGAUUACAAAUAUUCUCAUUGACUUUAACGGUGACGUCUAUAAAUAAGUCAUUUUUUCUAACAGCACUGAAUCAUUUCCAAAGCUUAUUAAACAGAGGGCAUAAGGGUUCAAAUAUUUUAAACAUACAUUUCCAAAGGAAAAUAAAGAUACUAAAAUAGUAUAAUAAACUAAUGAAUAUUUUUACUAGUAGAAAAUCUAAUUUAAAU